rnacentral:misc_RNA from 1 species
GAUGAAGAACGUAGCGAAAUGCGAUAAUUAAUGUGAAUUGCAGAAUUCCGUGAAUCAUCGAGUUUUUGAACGCAUAUUGCGCCCCUUGGUAUUCCGAGGGGCAUGCCUGUCCGAGCGUCAUUGCAACCCUUCAAGCACGGCUUGUGUGUUGGACGGCCGCCCCAGUGUGGGCGGGUCCCAAAUGCAGUGGCGGCGCCGCGAUCCGGGUGCUCGAGUGCAUGGAAACCACGCGCCCGUUAGGCCCCGUCGGGCGCCGGCCGACCUAAUUAUCUUCGUUCUGGUUGACCUCGGAUCAGGUAGGAAUACCCGCUGAACUUAAGCAUAUCAAUAAGCGGAGGA